GCUGGGUGCGGUGGCACACACCUGUAAUCCCAGCAGCUCCAGAGGCUGAGGCAGGAGGAUUGCAAGUUCAAAGCCAACCUCAGCAACUGUGAGACACUAAGCAACUCAGUGAGACCCUGUCUCUA
rnacentral:sRNA from 1 species